AGCUGAUCUGGGAGUCGCGAUUCGUGCCGGCCGGUCCAGGUUCUCCGGUCCCGCCGCUCCCGCAGCAGCCAUGUCAUUCUUCCCGGAGCUUUACUUUAACGUGGACAAUGGCUACUUGGAGGGACUGGUGCGCGGCCUGAAGGCCGGGGUGCUCAGCCAGGCCGACUACCUCAACCUGGUGCAGUGCGAGACGCUCGAGGGAAUGGAUGGUGCCACAAGGGAUGCCAGAGGGACUUGUCCCUGAGUGAUGACAGUCCAGUGACAGUGCUGACGGUCCAUGCCUGUCAGGUGAGCAGUGAGUGUCCAGGCUGCCUCUGAGGAGGGGAAGAAGGCAUGCCCUGGCUUCUCCCACCCCUCUGCCACCACCUGCCAGCUGAUCUGGGACUGAAAUCUGUCUGGACAGCUGAGUCCAUAUCUGAAAAGCCUGUCCUGGGUCAAGUGCUGGGGAAUAGAGCAGUAAAGGAGGUGCAGAGUGGGGAGGAGAGGAGGAAACCAGAUUUGGGGACAGACAGAAUCCCCCAGGCCUGCUCCACAUCGCAGCCCCUCUACGCCCCAACUCUGGGACUCUGGACAGGUUUCAUGUUCUGUCUGAUUUCUGUUCCUGAGGCUGAAAUGGGCAUGGUUGAGAGGUCCAGCACACAGGUUGCUCCUGGCAUGGGGCUGAGUACACCAUACAGCCCAUAUGUUUCCAGUUAGAGUAGAUCUAGGUUGCCCACUUCAGGUUGGGAUGAGGGGACUCCCCCCUGACCAGUGCCAGGUGUUGGAUAGAGAGUCAUGGAGGCCUAGGGAGGGGAAAGGUGCUUGGCAGUGGGGAAGUUGCUGAGCUAGGGAGAGAAGCCAUGUGGAGCAAAGUGGGAUGCUGGAGCAGAGGAAGUUUCAUGCUGCUUGAGAGCUCAUGAGGAUCCUGAGUGGGAGGUGACAGCUCACUCGGGGAAGCCUCCCAGCAGCUUGUGCCAGGGCCUGGAAGAGCAGUGUGUACGCAGAUGCCCGGGUGAGGCCCAGCCCCUGAUGCUUUGGAGGGGAGGGAUCAGGAGGCCAGACUGGGGUCUAGACUCCCAGUCCCAGGGAAUAGUGGAGUCACUGGCAGGAGUGCCACCACCCAAAGGAGUGAGUUUUUCCCUGGAGCUCACCCUGUACAUCUGGCCUGGCCUCUAGGCCCAGGCUAUAGCUGAAAAGGAAGAAGUCUCCUGGCCUGAGAAGGGCUCUUGGCUGGCUGCAGUGGCUGUGUGAAUAAGCAGACAGGUUUGGUCUGGCAGCUGCCUCACCAGUGCCUGGGUCUGACCCAGAGAACUGUAUUCCAGUUCUGGCUCCCAGCUGCCAUCCGUUCUGCAGCUUCCCCUAGUGGAGAUUUCAGCACUUGCUGGGCCUGGGCCAGAACCCCAAGUAUAUAAAAUCAGAGCAUGAACAUGACUUUGAUAAAUUAAGAAGGCUUCAUUUUAAUACCGCAGUAAGAGGAACCAGUUAAUAUUCUCACCAUUUCACAUCCACAAAAACCACAUCAGGGGCAUUAACAAUCUCUCAGUUUUGUACAAACAAACCAUGUUUCUCUUAAAAAGACUUGCACACGUGGCUCAUGCCUGUAAUCGCAGCACUUUGGGAGGCUGAGGCAGGUGGAUUACGAGGUCAGGAGUUCAAGACCAGCCUGGCCAACAUAGUGAAACCCUGUCUCUACUAAAAAUAAAAAAAAAUUAGCCAGGCAUGGUGGCAUGCACUUGUAGUCCCAGCUACUCGGGAGGCUGAGGCAGGAGAAUCGUUUAAACCAGGGAGGCAGAGGUUGCAGUGAGCCGAGAUCGUGCCACUGCACUCCAGCCCGGGCAACAGAGCAAGAUUCCAUCUCAGAAAAAAAAAAAAGGCUUGCACACUUGCCCAAGCUCAAGGAUAUUAAAAUCUAGCAUAUGAAACCCACUUCUAGAGGUAGAAAUACAGGCAAUAUAUUAUUUCAGCAAUGACCAUCAAUUACAGUUAAGAACAGUUAACAACCAAAUGGGUAAUGAAAUACUGCAACCACCCAAGUUUACUGAGCAAAGCAUCUUUGUCACCCAUGCCUUACUCUAGGAGUAGCUGGGGCUUGGUUAGAUGUGGUGAGGAUGUAGGAGAAGAGAUCCCAGGGCAAGGGCUCAUUGUAGACGGCCUGGGGUAAGGAUGUGAGAGAGUGCACAUCUCCCAGGCAAAAAGGCAUUGGGGUCCACAGAGCAGAACAGGGGCAGGUGGCUUCUGCCUGCCCUGCCUGGCUUUCUCUUCUGUGCCCUUUUGGGUGGCCAUGGGAGAAAAGUAGUGGUCAAUUGCAGAGUAAUGGUGAAGGCAGCAGGUGUCUCCUGCAGGCCUCAGGAGGUUGAAGUUCACUCCACGAGUGCCCAGGAGCCACAGAGGUCAUGAGUGUGGCCUGCCACCAGCCCCCCAGAGAUGCAGGUGGAAGGCGUCCAUUCCAGAGACCUGUGCAUACCCCUACCUCCAACAUGCUGUAUUCCAUCUCUCCUUUAGCACGCCUGAUGUGCUAAACUCCAGGUUGGGGCUGUCUUCUCCUGAUGGAGUACACAGCAGGAAGGGCAUCACAGGGGUCCCCUAAGCUUGUAGAGGGUUUAUAUGCCCCACUUCCCUUCCUCUCUAAACAACCCAGGCUAGCAUGGUCUCCUGAGCCUCAAAGACACCUGGGGAGGCCGUGGCCAGGACAGCAUGUGGAGGUGGUCCCGAGUGCAGCUCUGCCUUUGAUCCCCUGGGCAGCCUCCCCAGGGGAUGGAGAGGCAUGUAGUCUUCCAAGCCAGCCUCCGCCAACAUGUGCCUGGGUAUCUUCUCAGCCACUGUCCUUGGUACUGUCCCCAGGGAGCUUCUGUGUCCUGUAUCAGGUGGGAUAAGUACUGCUAAGAAGAAUAACACAAGGGACAGUGAUGGGCUGCUGGAGAAGCCUCUGAAGAGGGGGCAUGUGAGGAAAGAUCUGAAGAAAGGGAGGGAGACAGUUCCACUUUCAGGCCAGGGGACAGGGAAGGGCCCUGAGGUGGGGACAUGGCUGGGGAUAGUGAGCAUGGGGGAACGGCAGGACCUAAGUCAGAGAGGUAAAGCGGGGAUGGUGGGACCACCACAUGAGGGCUCUGGAGGGGACUCUCUUUCUGAGUGAAGUAGGAGUAGGGGAGAGUUUAAGACCAAUGAAUGGCAUGGUCUGCCUUGUGUUUUAAAAAGAUCACUCUGGCUGGCACAUGCCUGUAAUCCCAGCCACUUGGGAGGCUGAGGCCAGAGGACCACUUGAGCCUAGGAGUUCAAGUUCAGCCUGGGAACAUAGCAAGAUGCCAUCUGU
rnacentral:sRNA from 1 species